CAGCAGUAGGGAAUAUUGCUCAAUGGGCGAAAGCCUGAAGCAGCAACGCCGCGUGGAGGAUGACACUUUUCGGAGCGUAAACUCCUUUUCUUAGGGAAGAAAUUUGACGGUACCUAAGGAAUAAGCACCGGCUAACUCCGUGCCAGCAGCCGCGGUAAUACGGAGGGUGCAAGCGUUACUCGGAAUCACUGGGCGUAAAGGACGCGUAGGCGGAUUAUCAAGUCUUUUGUGAAAUCUAAUGGCUUAACCAUUAAACUGCUUGAGAAACUGAUAAUCUAGAGUGAGGGAGAGGCAGAUGGAAUUGGUGGUGUAGGGGUAAAAUCCGUAGAGAUCACCAAGAAUACCCAUUGCGAAGGCGAUCUGCUAGAACUCAACUGACGCUAAUGCGUGAAAGCGUGGGGAGCAAACAGGAUUAGA
rnacentral:rRNA from 1 species